rnacentral:tRNA from 1 species
GGCGCUGUGGCGCAACGGUAGCGCGUCUGAUUCUAGAUCAGAAGACUGCAUGUUCGAUUCACGUCGGCGUCA